rnacentral:misc_RNA from 1 species
AAGUCGUAACAAGGUUUCCGUAGGUGAACCUGCGGAAGGAUCAUUAACACUUUUUCCAAUAACUCCAAUUGAGUCCUACGGUUUUAAACAACCAUUUGGGCUCUCUUGGUUUUAACCCCAAUUUUGCGAACGAUGAUUUUCCAAAAUCAUUUUUCUCUUCUUUAUCCUCUUUUUUUUAUAUUUUUACCCCAAUUUUUACAAACUACAAGCCUGAUAUAAAAUCGCUUUUUCUUUUGAAAAAAAACUAAAAGCGACCGAAACCUAAUGGUUAAAACAACUCUUAGCAACGGAUAUCUUGGCUCUC